CUCUAGAGUUAAGACGUUGGGUCCAUGUCCUCGAUUAUUGUACCACCGCUUUGACCAUCGUUUCAGAGAAAUUCAUCUGCUCUUUCUUCCUUGAGGUAGACACAAGCGUGCAUGUAUGGCCGGUCGAUGCCGCUCGCCGUCGCAGCCCUCGGCAGCCGAUACCCGCUUGAUUCCCUCUCGGGCGCCGCUUCCCUUGCUUUCUUCCGGACCUCCUGCCAAGCUACAGAGGCUCAACUACCGGCAACACAUCGAGGACAACAAGGCUCCGGCGGUGCUGUGGAGGUUGGGGUGAGGCCGAACCUCUACUUGGCAGCUCGGCGCGACCUGGGCCAUGAGCGGCCGGCACCCCGGCGAGGAUGGCCAUCCACGGCCUGCUCCCGCCAUGUUUCUGAGCGUCGCCCCGGCAGUUCCGCCGCUACUGCUCGCGGAAGAUGGCGGGCCGCCGCCGUUCGCGGGAUAUGGGCCACGCCCUGAACCAGACGCCGACGACCUGGCGUCCCUCCGGCCCUUCGCCAACGGUCUGUACCAUGAAGUCGCCGGUUAACUCUGGUAGGGGGCUAACGGCGGCGGGUCGGGCUACGCCUGGACGGGUAUCUCCUGUGAUCUCGGGAGGGUGGUGAGGCUAGAUCUCUCAAAUCGGAGACUCUGCAGCCUCCCUCCACUGCGCGUUCGAGCUUUUUUUCUUGGUUUGUGCCUCUUCUCUGUCUCUCCGUGCGGCCUCUUCUCGGUUAUGAUGGUGUGGGGAUCCCCGCGUGGGUCUCUCCAUGGCCGUGGUCGCCCUUCUGGUGGUGGAGAUGCUGGUGAUGGAGAGCCCGUGGCGGUAGAGAUGCUGCUGGAGUGCUGGUGGAGGAGCCAUGGCGGCGGCGGGCUUCGUGGUGGUGGAGGUGCUCCUGGUGGACAGGCCCGCCGUGGUGCUGCUGCUAUGCGAUGCCAUCCAUCAUUAUCAGGGCGUGUGUUCUGCUGUGGAUCGAUCUUGUGGUGAUGAUGGAUCUUGCAAUGCGUCCUCAGCGGCGGCAUGUUCCUUCACAACCGCUACUGCUUCUUGUACCUUUUUCCCUCCUGCUGACUGCUGUAUUCAGUCUUUUUUUCAGUUUUGGUUGCAUAUGGUCAUGCUCCAUCUGGUUCUCCUUCGGCUUCUCUGGCUGCCCAAAUCGGUCAAAGAGCUCCAGUGUGGGCAAGGGGCGUACGCCAGUUUGCUCUGGCCUUUUUCUUUAAAAGAGUUGCGCUUCAUUGACUGUGGGACUGCCUCUACUCACUUAUAUCGUCUCUAACCAAAAAAAUUAUCUUUGUUCAUCUUAUGCAUAACUGAAUCCAUGCAAGUUCUCCAUCUAAACAGGUUAUUUUAACUAUUUUAAAGAUAAUGUAGUUAUUGUUGUUGAAUUGUAUCAGAUUGGUUUCCUGUUAUAUUCUACGGUAUUGAAACUCUAAAUGUAAAAUAUAAUACACUGACUUUUGCCUGAGAGAUCUCCACCAUUCCAUUAUUGAUGGGGUGAACUGAUCGCAGACUACACAUGGCUUAUGUUUGGCUUGGUACCAACAAGGAUAGGUAUGCCCUCUGUUUCAAGUACUUUAUCUGCAUUGCACCGUCGCAAUUUAGUAGAUAAUUAAGACUUUGUUUGCGAUCUUUAGGCAUGUUGAUUCUUCAUGAUGACAAAAGGUAGACAGUAGGGCAGGCGCAGUAUCUGUACAUUUAUCUAAAACUGACAUUAUGUGCUGCUUGAGUUCACACUUAUACAUGGUGUCUAUCUGAAACUGACAGUAUGUGUUGCUUGAGUUCGCACUUGGUGUCAGCUGAAAUCUAGAUUACCAAAGAAGUGUAUGCAAGAUAUGUCACCACAAGAAAAGUUCUCCUUGCAUUUUAGAUAAGGUUAUCAUCUCUUUUGUUUGGGACAUGCAAGAUGGAAGGGGCACUGAAAAAAUGGAUUCUACAAAGGUGAUGCAUCCUGCUGCCUAGGAAAGGAAGUAGCAAGUUUGACGGCAGCAAGCUUGGGCUUCAGCUUCUUCAACAUCAAACAAGACGUCCAACAGAGAAUUGGAUGUUGCCACGGUGAUCACAAGCCAGCAGGUCAAUGGGCAAAUCCCCUGUCUACCCACUAAACAAGACAUCAACAUUGAUUCAUCUUUCAUGCUUUAGCUCGCAGCUAGCCGGUAAUUUUGUCGUGUACAUGGUGCUCCUGAUAUUUUUGUGGUUCAGGAUUACCAUGACAGUAUGGGGAUUUGUCGUGUACAUGGUGCUUCUGAUCUUUUUGGUACUUUUACAUGUAAUCCCAAGUGGCAAAAGAUUAGUGAUGCUUUGGCUUUGGAGCCAGUCCAGUCCAUGUCAGAUCACCCUGAUAUUGUUACAAGGGUUUUCCAUAUGAAAUAUGAUGAAUUUCUUACUGAUGUAAAGAGGGCUGCUUUAUUUGGUCCUGUCGAAGCGUGCAUGCAUUUUCCCCCCUUGUGCUAGGUUUCUUGGAUCUGAUUUUCUAAUAUCUGCCGUAUGAGCUUUGCUGGUUUAUUGGGCUUUUUGGUCUGUUGUCUCUUUCUUUCCUCUUUUCUCUCUUAGUACUCUGUUUAUUCUGGCAUUAUUUGUUGCAGAUCUUUAUGUUGUCGAAUUUCAGAAGAGGGGUUUGCCGCAUAUACAUGCUCUUAUUUCAUUGAAGAGAAAUACUAGGGAUCCACAUAUACAUGCUCUUAUUUCGUUGAAGAGAAAUACUAGGGAUCCUUAUUCAGAGUUGAUUCAUAGCUUCAUUUCAGCAGAACUUCCUGAUCCUAAGAAUGAUCCAUUAGGCUAUGCUCUUGUGGAUGAAAUCAUGAUGCAUGGUCCUUGUGGUGAUUUGAAUCAAAACUGUCCUUGUAUGAAAGAGGUGGUCUGUUCCAAACAGUUUCCUAAGGCCUAUAAUGAUGAAGCUUUAAUUGAUGAUAAAGGGUUUCCAGUAUAACGUCGGCGUGAUGAUGGCCAUUUCAUUCUUAGGAGCAGGGUUAUUGUUAAACUCACAAAUAAGUGGGUUGUCCCGCAUAAUUUGGGUUUGUUGAAAAGGUUUCAGGCCCAUAUUAAUGUGGAGUGGUGUAACAAAACAAAAUUUGUUCAAGUAUGUUUCCAAAGGUCAUGAAAUGUCACGUAUACAUUUUCAAGCUGCCUCUAAUUCUGGUUGGUUGAUGCUUCUGGAUUGCCUCUUGGCAGAAAUGAGAUAGAGGAAUACAGUACCUUUCGGCAUAAUGAGGCGUGUUGGCGCAUGUUUGCCUACGAUAUGCACGGGCGUCAGCCUUCUGUUGAACGGCUUAUUGUCCACCUGCCUGGUAUGAAUAGAAUUAUUUUUCAUGAGGAUGAUCGCCUUGCUUGUUUGGUCGAUAAUUCGUCAUUUUAAGGACUAUGUUAGCAGAAUGGUUUGUGGCCAAUCGAGAUCAUACAGACGCUAGGUCCUUGACUUACCUAGACUUUCCUACUCACUGGGUUUGGGAUUCUUCUAACGAGGUUUUCUAUAGUAAGAGAAAGAAAAUGAGGAAACUUCCUAAUAGGAUUGGAAGAAUAUAACAUGUUCGCCCUGGUACUGGUGAAUUGUUUUUUUUUUUCCUUCGGAUGCUGCCUUUUGGUAGUGGCUGGUGCUACCUGUUUCGAAGAUCUCCGGCUGUACAUCGUGUUCUGUAUGGUACUUUUAAAGAAGCAUGUCAGGUUCGGGGUUUGGUUGGUGCUGAUAAUGAGGCUCCGGGUUUGAUAAUGAAUGGUUUAGUCUGUUCCAAGAGGCAAUUAUAUGGGCCUCUUCUUUCAGUUGAGGCAUUUGUUCAUGACUGUUUUGUUGUUCUAUAAGGUUAUUAGGGGUAAUGAAUUGUUCGAUCGGUACUGGUUCAACAUGUGGAUAUAUCUUACAGGAUUACCACCUCACUUGGUGGCUAUGUUGUGCUAACCCAGUAAUAAUUCUUCUAUAAAUUUCAUACAAAGGAGAAGAAAAAAAAUGAAAUAUUAUUUAGUAUACAAUAUUAACCCUAUUCAAAGUAAAAUAAAAGAUAAACUAACCGGUUACCACAACCUAGCGCGGCGUGCCGCCGCGCCGGCUGUUGCUAGUACUAUACUUAUUUGGCAACAAACUUCUUUUUUCUCAGAAUUUUGAGACUCUUUGGUAGUUAACCUCAUGGUGACACGUGUUGUUUCAGAUAGUUUGUUAGCUGCUGGUUUUCUACUGUGUAGCAUUUGGUACUCUGUAGCGUUUUGGGGGAAAGUUUGAUUUGUGUGGUGCUUCAGCGGGAUGGCUUGGUGUUUCCUCAAUGUGUGGCCAUAGCCAUAAUUUGGUUGGGACAGUGGUAGGCACGAUUUGCACAACUUGUCGGUACUGUCCACACACACACCGCUUUGACUGGUUAACCUUUCCGCGUGUCCUUCUCCCGAACUUGACCGAAACCAGCCUGGCCUCUUUCUUCUCCUAUUUUCUUCCAUGGUGUCAGGCGCAGCCUCCCAAGUCCCCACCGACGAACUUCUCCGGCGAGCCUACUGUGCCCCCUCCCCCCCUCCACCUCACUUCGUUGUCCUGCGCCUCCUCCACCACAUGAACCGUCAAGCCCCAGACGGCGGCGCACCCGGAGGGCUGCUGCUGCCGCUCCGGGUAGGGCUGCCGCCGCCACGGCCCGGUGGCGGGGCACAGUCAACGUCGGGGCGAAACUCGGGAGAUCGGAUUCUUCAAGAUUGGGGCACGCUGUAACAGCAGGUCGAGCGGCGGUGGCGGAUAUCCGGAGGGUUGAGAUGGGAUCCACUGUGGGGAAGAGGAGGAGGCGGAGGCCGAAGCGGAAGGCCGCCUCCUGGAAGGUCCUCUUCCACCAUCCUCCGGUGCGGCGCCAUCAAGGCUGUCCUCGACAGGAAUGAGCUCGGCAAGGGUAGAUAUUCCUCGGACUGUCGUCGAGGCCCUCCAUGAGCAUAUCACCGCACUCUGCUGGAAAUCCGACUCAAGGUAUGUCCCGAAGAUCACCCGGACCAGAGUCGGAGCGAUCAUUCCAACAAGUUACUCAGUCCUCCUCUGUUAUUUCUCCGCCUGCUUGAUGUUUGUUUCUUUUUCCUAUACUAAUUUGUUGAUGUUACUUGGUCCGAGCGAUGUACCUCGGGGUCAAGUCGGCAAGAGUGCCGUCUGCAGGAGUGGUGUAUGUUGGGCAGACAUACCGCCGGGCUUGAGGGGCUGCCGAAGGCGGUUGACUUGGAGGGAGAAAGGAGCAAUGGUUUUGCGGCUUAAGUCGUGGCGAGCAGGGCAUGUAGGUGACGACCACGGGAGCCAUGCGCGUCGUGCUGCAAUGUACGUUGUGGCCCCCUAAACUCUAACUCAGUUAGAAUUUGUCAGAAGUGGAUGCAGUUCAGCGGGGGCUUGGAGUCCCACAAGCAGGGUCUCGGAACUGUCCAGAGAAGAUUGAGCAAUGAGGACAGCCAAAAAGAUAUAGUAGGAGGCUAUUCAUAGAAGAGAACAAUAGACAGGGAAGAUCCAAUUGGAGGCAGUUACAAAAUUGCAAUCACAAUUUCAAGAGGAAGGUUAAGGUUUGUCUUAUUCACGUUCACAAUUCAAUGGUAAACUUCAUUUGAAGAUUUUUCAUCUACAUCUCAGUCCGGCCUUAGUCACAUGAACAAAAUCAUUGUUAUUAGUUUUUUUCUUACUAAACGCAGCUUGGGAUCUGCUCAAACAGAUUGGUCAGUAUAUUAUAUGAAGGCACAAGUUGUUCUGAGUCUAAUUCUUCAUACCAAUACUGCAGAAAUAUAUGCUAAGAAAUAAUUCCUAGGAAGAGCUACAGAAAUAGCAAUGUGAGAAAACGAUGGGUAUUUACUGCUCAUUAUCAAUCGACUAUACAUCAUAUAAAGAUUGCUACUCCCUUCGUCUCAGAUUAACAGGCACGCACGUAGUUUAAGAAAUUGCUUUGACCAUUAUUUUAGUCAAUAAAAUAUGAAAUAUAUGACACAAAAAUUAUAUCAUUGGAAAGCUUUUUUUGCAUACGAAUCUAACGAUAUAUAUUUUGUAGACAUAAAAGUUAUAUUUUGUUGACCAAAUCAAUGGUCAAAGUUUGUCUUGAAUUGCGUGCAUGCCUGUUAAACCGAACCGGAGGUAGUAUGUUAAAUAACCUGAUUACAUGUCCUUACUGCAACAGAACAGGGAUGUAUUACUGUAAAUAUUAACUAACUUCUUCAUGAUUUAGAGUAUUCUAUAUAACUAAAAAUACUAUGAGUGCUUUACCACUACAAUAUCCUGCAGAUGAGCUCUUGAUUAUUCUGCCAAAGCUCUCAGGAGUCAAGAGCAUGUGUAUAGAUGGUUAAAUGUGUGGACUGCUAUGACACCAUGUAGCCAAAUCUGAUCUGAAUCAUGACUAGCAUGACUCACAAGCAGUUCCUCCAAAUUUAGACUUGAGAUAUAAUUCCCGCAACUUCACUGGCACAUAAACCAUUUGAUGUAUUACUGAAAGAUGCACGAGUGGUGGUUUCGGUUUUUCAGGGUCCUACAGUGAUAGCAUGCACAUAAAGUAUCUUUCAAAAUGGCAAACUUCGAAAUGCACACAGCUUCCUGUUAAAGGUGAAUCCAACAGGCGAUGUAGCAAUUUAAGGACACCCUGGUUGAAAGGCUUUGUCGCAAUCAUUGCUUAAAUGGCUAAUUAUUGAAUACUUUCUCGGAAAUGGAUCAAGAUGAUGUAACUUCAUGCGAGAACAUUUUAUUUUCCUUCCUAUCACUUCUAAGAGAUGGCCGAUCCAUGUCUUUUUGAAUGAGAAGUUCCAUAGUUUGCUUUAAUGUGUAGUAACGUUACUCUUAUGUGAAAUCACACCAUCGGUUAAAAUCUAUAUGUUAUUCUUAUUUUUCCUUGAUAUUUAUUUUGAAUGAUAUUAGUAAUGAAUCCAAAUUUCAUGCUACAAAUACCUCAGCACUACCGUAGUAAUCCAUGUUAUUGCGCGUUUUCUAUCUAUGUAAUAAAUCACAGUAAGGUUGUAUCGC